rnacentral:rRNA from 1 species
AGCAGCCGCCACGGUAAUACGGAGGGUGCAAGCGUUAAUCGGAAUUACUGGGCGUAAAGCGCACGCAGGCGGUCUGACAAGUCAGAUGUGAAAUCCCCGGGCUUAACCUGGGAACUGCAUUUGAAACUGUCAGGCUGGAGUCUUGUAGAGGGGGGUGGAAUUCCAGGUGUAGCGGUGAAAUGCGUAGAGAUCUGGAGGAAUACCGGUGGCGAAGGCGGCCCCCUGGACAAAGACUGACGCUCAGGUGCGAAAGCGUGGGGAGCAAACAGGAUUAGAUACCCCUGUAGUCCCUGUCUCUUAUAC